CCUACGGGAGGCAGCAGUGGGGAAUAUUGCGCAAUGAGCGAAAGCUUGAUGCAGCGACGCCGCGUGAGGGAUGAAGGUCUUCGGAUCGUAAACCGCUGUCAGCAGGGAAGAACGGUCACUGUAGUAAUCAGCAGUGAAUUGACGGUACCUGCAAAGAAAGCAAUGGCUAACUCCGUGCCAGCAGCCGCGGUAAUACGGAGGGUGCGAGCGUUAAUCGGAAUUACUGGGCGUAAAGCGCUCGUAGGCGGUAUGUCAAGUCAGGGGUGAAAUCCCCGCGCUCAACGUGGGAACCGCCUUUGAAACUGGCAAACUAGAGUGUGUUAGAGGAAAGUGGAAUUCCAGGUGAAGCGGUGAAAUCCGUAGAUAUCUGGAGGAACACCAGAGGCGAAGGCGACUAUCUGGCACAAUACUGACGCUGAGGAGCGAAAGCGUGGGUAGCAAACAGGAUUAGAUACCCUAGUAGUC
rnacentral:rRNA from 1 species